CCUACGGGAGGCAGCAGUGGGGAAUAUUGGACAAUGGGGGGAACCCUGAUCCAGCCAUGCCGCGUGUGUGAAGAAGGCCCUCGGGUUGUAAAGCACUUUCAGUGAGGAAGAACGCCUGGUGGUUAAUACCCAUCAGGAAAGACAUCACUCACAGAAGAAGCACCGGCUAACUCCGUGCCAGCAGCCGCGGUAAUACGGAGGGUGCGAGCGUUAAUCGGAAUUACUGGGCGUAAAGCGCGCGUAGGUGGCUUGAUAAGCCGGUUGUGAAAGCCCCGGGCUCAACCUGGGAACGGCAUCCGGAACUGUCGAGCUAGAGUGCAGGAGAGGAAGGUAGAAUUCCCGGUGUAGCGGUGAAAUGCGUAGAGAUCGGGAGGAAUACCAGUGGCGAAGGCGGCCUUCUGGACUGAAACUGACACUGAGGUGCGAAAGCGUGGGUAGCAAACAGGAUUAGAUACCCUUGUAGUC
rnacentral:rRNA from 1 species